GGCAAGCACGAGGUCCUGAGUUUGAUUCCUGGCACAAAAAAAGGAGUCACCUUUCAGAUGUAAAAUGAAGUUGUUUUCAUUGAUUGAAAAGUUCCGGUCAAUUUAAAUCAAACCUGUGCUGUGGUCCAGGUUUAUGCUUGUUCCCCCUGCCAUUUCCCUUCCCUUCCUGUGCAGCAGUGUGGGGGGGGCUUGCCUUAGUGUUUCACUUUCCUUUCUUAUGGUUCCGAAGGUUCUGACAGGUAAGGAAGGGAAAGACGGUGUUGGUGUCACCUGGCCACUAGCACCUUCUGUGUGCCACAUGCCCAGUGACCUGUAGAGCUGCUCGGAGGGGCCUGUGCCUGUGUUCUGGCUCCGAUCUCUGCUGACCCUGGCGGCCUGCCCAGCCUGCCCUGCAGGAGCGCCGUGAAGUCCUGGCCCGCCGGCAGCCCAAGGGGAACUGACUGCCCACUUGCCCCCCAAACCGCACGUGCCACUGGCCUCAGGCCCCCGUUCCCGCUGUGCUCCUCAGGCUUCCGCCCCACCGCAGAUGCCGGCAGUCCCGAGUCAAGUUCUCUCGGGAGCUCUCGCUGCCCCAUCCCAUGUGGUGUGGCCACCCCCAGGCUCGCUUCUGCCAGGAAGCAAGUGCCGCUUGCAGGCAUUCCGUGGUCCUGCACGAACUGACACUUGCGGGGCGGUAGCAAGGAAAGGCAGGGACGUGACUCCCAGCAGCCCUCGUCUUCUCUUGUGUGGCCUAGACCUGGGGGCCCGUGCUGUGAGUUCGGAGCCCCUGGCUGCUGUUGCACAUCUGCCUGUGUGUGCGUCCUCGCUGUGCUGUGUUCCUGCCCACGCCGCUUCUCUCCUGCCUGACUUCCACCGUGGCAGGUCUGUAGCGGGAGGUGUCAGCACCUCUGGGCAGGGCAGGGCCUGCAGUUGGCUGAAGGCUGUGGGCCCUCCUCCUCCUCCUCCUCCUCCAGCCCUGUGGGAUCCAGGGGAGUAGCCUUGGGCAUUGGUGCCACAUUAUCACCCUCAGGUUGGCCCAGCCUCCUCUCCUGCCCUUUCCUGGGUCCCUACUUCUGUUUCUUGGGAUUAGUUCCCCAAGUACACCUUGUGCAUGCAGUUCCUGCUUCCUGUCCUGCUUUUCAGGGGACCCAGACUUGAAACACUUUUGUUCCUUGUCUUUAGAACGUGUGGAUACUUGUCAUCCAUUGACUAUGCUUUGGAGACUGCAAAAUCUAGACAAAAUGAGAAGUCCCGUCUAAAGCCUUCUACUUGUUACUGCAGUGGAAAGCUAACAGGGAAGACUGAUUGACAGGUGGCGCCCUCCCUGGUGAACCGCCCACGUGAUGUUUGCUGAUGUGGAUUUGCCUUCUUGUUUGGGCUUUCCAGCGGAGGGGCCGUGAGCUGCACAGAUAAACCCUGAUUUAAGUGUUGUUGAGGAAGGCUCUCCAAGAGCAGGAGGUAAAUUGGAGCCUGUGGUCCGAGUUACAUUGUGUCUCUACGUAUCAGCUAUUGUUUUUUGCUUCCAGCAUAGACUAAAGUAAGAAAGGAAGAUAUAUUGGACAGCAUACAGACGCUGUGGCCUGCCUCCUCCUUCCUGUCAGACUAGAGCUUCCUCAGGGGCCCGGGUGUUGGCUGUGGGCCUCCUAGGACCGAGGCCUCCCCUGCCUUGCCCUCAGCUCACGCAGGUCAGCCAGAGAUCUUUGUGGCAGAAACUUGGAACCCUUUUCUGGCCCCUCCAAGCACCUCUGCCCACCAGGAGGAUUCGUGGAAGGAAGUCAGCCCGGCCUCGUCUGGGCUGGAGUCGGGGCCUGGAGCAGGCUCCCUGGAGCUGGGGGUGGAGAGGAGCCAUGCUUGUCUCCCGCUCGAGGGCUGGUGCAGGCCCAGCUCACUGCGGUCCAUUUUCCGUGGUUUCAGUUAUUUGUGGCCAAACACAAUAUCGAAUGGAAAAUUCCAGAAGUACACGAUUAGUACUUAUUUGUUUUUGCGGUGCUGGGGCCUAACCUUGGGGUGCUGUGCAGGCCGGGCAGGUUGCACAGCUGUGCUGCACUUGGCCUGACAGUUCCUCAGUUUGAAAUCGCAAACCAGUGUGGGCGAGGUGAUGGCAUCUUGUGUCCUCCCGACUUGUUCCCGCAGGUGAAUCAUCCCUUCGUCUGGCACAUCCUCACUGUGCCGCACCGUGAUCGUCAGAUCCGCUGUGCCCUGUCUCCUCAGGUGGCCUGCAGGAGGGCUGACCCUCGCUCACCUCAUCUCCUGGGCCCGGUCCUCGCGCAUCUUCACAGGAGCAGGGCGAGCACAGUGCUGUACGGAGAGAGAGGCCUUGUCCACGCACUUCAUUAAGUGGUCUCCUCUGCCAUCACUGCCGUGACACCCUGCCUUGGAGCCGCCAGCCCUGGACUGAAAGCUCUACACCCUGUGGGCUGUCCUCUCUGUGGUGUUGGGCCUGUGUCUCAGUGAUGCAAAGGUCCCGAGAACCCUCUGCCAGCCAAGAGGCUGUGACCAGUUGUGGCCCCUCGACUUUGCACAGUUCUGCAAAAUAAAUGUCUUUCCUUCAUAAUUUACCUGAUGGGGAUGUGUGUUGCUGGGACAGGAAGCAGACUAGCACAGGGUGCCAGGAUGCACUUUGCACACCACCCUCCCCUGUCGCAUGUCCUGGCCCAGCUUGCGCAGAAUCAGAUUAAUAAACCAUUAAUAAACAACAGAAGCAAAUGAAAUAAUAAGCACAUUAAACUUCGUUUAGUUUUUAACUUUUUAAAA